AGUGUGGCUCUCACUACGUUCCCGCAGGCUACGUAACGGCAAAGUCAUCUUCAGAAGAGUGUCUAAAAUGUCGUCUUGGAGGUCUUGGAGAGACUUUUGGAAGGUGCCGCAGUACGUCUUGGAACUACUUGUUGUGACUGUGAGAAUUUUAAUUCAAUGGGCAAAGGAAGAGUUUAGGAAGUACUUUUGUCAAGUCCACUGUCUGUCUGGUACCGCCCGCCUCCACAUGGUGUCACUCUUGAGCUUUUCACGCCAAGCGGCUGCCUCGUCCCAUUCCAUCACUUGCGGGAAAAGAUGAUGGCCAGUCGCUCCCCCCUACCCCUCCCACAUCUAACAAAGACUUCCAUCAAUCACUGAAAAAGUCAGGCUGCGAUUAUUAGAAAACAUUUGGUGCAGUUUGGUGAUCGGAAAACGUGAUCAUCAAGUAUUGGAGUGAAGUUUUUCCGGUGUACUGUAGGCCUUGCUUCUUCUUCUCCUUCUUCUUCUUCUUCUUCUCGGUGCCGGCAGGGAAGCUUCCUGUCGUGUGCGGCUUUGAUCGGAAAAAAGAACUGAGUUAAAGCGCUGGGAAAAGGAGGAGGUUUGGCGGCUAAAUACGGUUCCUUGCCCCACGAAGCCGACCGCAAGUGUUGUAAAGAGUCACCGUUGGAAUGGAGACUCAGGCAAACUGCUUGAGUGCUAACAGGAGACCGAGAUUGACAGACUGCUAAUGGCUUAUUUGACUUCGGAGAUGGCCCUGGCACAAACACGGCCUCCACCCCCACCCCCCCACCGUACCCUCGGCGGCCAUCGGCGGCGGCUCGGCGUGGACGCUCGCCGGCGACAUCCGACGACUUCAGCAGAUUCCCCCCGCGUAAGUGCUCACCAGAUGCCCGGCGUGCCGGUCUUCAAGAAAAGACGCUCAUGGUGACACGGGGAGCCGUUGGUGCCCCCAUAAAAGCCACAAACCUGCUGUCAUAUGAGGGUGGGGGGGUGGGGGUGGAGAAUGCUUUGACGAUUAAAACCGACCCACUCACAAAAAAUAGCUACUUUAUGACCUUAAGACAGCGUUUAGACUGCAGAUCAGUGGUGCGAGAUUCUGAUUUAAUGCCUAAAUUUGAUCUAUUUCCAUGUGCAGUGCUGCCAUGACAUAAACUGGCACAAACCGGUGUUCGACUGAUAAAGAAUUCUUGAAAAAAUUAACCAAAAAAACUGUUUUAAAUUCAUUGGUACUUCCAGGCUGCACGGUGGGUCGGCUGGAAAGCGUUUGACUCACAGUUCUAAGGACCUGGGUUCAAUCCCGGACCCGCCUGUGUGGAGUUUGCACGUUCUCCCCGUGCGUGCGUGAGUUUCCUCCGGGCACUCCGGUUUCCUCCCACACCGCAAGAACAUGCAACAUUAAUUGGAGACUCUAAAUUGCCCCUAGGUGUGAUUGUUUGUGCGGCUGUUUGUCACGACGUGCCCUGCGAUUGGCUGGCCACCAGUCCAGGGUGUACCCUGCGUCCUGCCCGUUGAGAACUGAUAUCGGCUCUGGCACUCCCCGCAACCAUUGUGAGAAUAAGCGGCUAAGAAAAUGGAUGGAUGGUAUAUUGCUGCUCCCACGUAAAGUUUGCUGUCAAACUACAUAUCAAACUAUGAGAAUUGCAUGUUGUGUACCUCAAACAAUCACAGUUUUGCCGUAGGACAGUCCGCUUAGCUUUAUUAUUAUUCUUUAUCUUGAAGAACAACUAAUAUGAUUGCAGCUUUAGUGAGGAGCUGCGACUUCUCUC